rnacentral:RNase_P_RNA from 1 species
AGGGCAGGCCAGGCCGCCGCUUGCCCCCCUGCGGGGGCAAGAGGAAAGUCCGGGCUCCGAAGAGCGCGGUACCGGGUAACGCCCGGACGCGGGGGAGGCGGAAGCGUUUUCCCCCGCGAUAGACAGCGCCACAGAAAACAUACCGCCCGCGCGUCCCGCGCGGGUAAGGGUGAAAAGGCGGUGUAAGAGACCCCCGCCUCCGCCGGCAACGGGGAGGGCAUGGCAAGCCUUACCGGGAGCAAAGUCAAAAAGCGGGAAACGGGCUGCUCGCCCAAGGUGCUUCCCGCGGGUAGACUGCUUGAGGGGCCCAGCGAGGCCCCCAGACAGAUGGCGGCCCGGGCGCUCCCCUGCGGGGGCACCCCUGACAGAACCCGGCUUAUCGGCCUGCCCUUUUU